GACGAACGCUGGCGGCGUGCUUAACACAUGCAAGUCGAACGGAAAGGCCCCCAUCUUGGUGGGGGUGCUCGAGUGGCGAACGGGUGAGUAACACGUGGGUGAUCUGCCCUGUACUUCGGGAUAAGCUUGGGAAACUGGGUCUAAUACCGGAUAGGACCAUGGUUUAGUGUCUCAUGGUGGAAAGAUUAUUGUUUUGGUGCAGGAUGAGCUCGCGGCCUAUCAGCUUGUUGGUGGGGUAAUGGCCUACCAAGGCGUCGACGGGUAGCCGGCCUGAGAGGGUGGACGGCCACAUUGGGACUGAGAUCCGGCCCAGACUCCGACGGGAGGGAGCAGAGGGGAAUAUGGCACAAUGGGCGCAAGCCGGAGGCAGCGACGCCGCGUGGGGGAUGACGGCCUUCGGGUUGUAAACUCCUUUCGUUAGGGACGAAGCCGCACUUUUUUUGGGUGUGGUGACGGUACCUUUGUUAAGAAGCACCGGCUAACUACGUG
rnacentral:rRNA from 1 species